CCACCUAAUAACCAAACAAUAUAAAUAAAACAAAAUAACCUAACACCAAGAACUAAACCAUUCUUUUACCUAAGUACGGGAGACGGAAAAGGUCAUACCAGAGCAAUAGAAACAGUACCGCAAGGGAAAGCUGAAAGAGAAAUGAAACAACCCAUAUAAGCACAAAAAAGCAAAGAUUGAAUCUUGUACCUUUUGCAUCAUGAUUUAGCCAGUACACCCAAGCAAAGAGACCUUUAGUUUGAAACCCCGAAACCAAGUGAGCUACCCCGAGACAGCCUAUCAAGGGCCAACCCGUCUCUGUGGCAAAAGAGUGGGAAGAACUCCGGGUAGAAGUGACAGACCUACCGAACCUGGUGAUAGCUGGUUGCCUAAGAAAUGAAUAGAAGUUCAGCCUCGUGUUCCCCUAAUCAAAAACACAAACAAGACUAAGAGAAACACACGAGAGUUAGUUAAAGGGGGUACAGCCCCUUUAACAAAGGACACAACCUUCACAGGAGGAUAAAGAUCAUAAUACAUAAAACAUGCCGUUCUAGUGGGCCUAAAAGCAGCCACCUAAACAGAAAGCGUUAAAGCUCAGACAGAAAGAAGUUUAUUAUCCCGAUAAAAAAUCUUACUCCCCUAAAUACUAUUAGACCAACCCAUGCCUACAUGGAAGAGACUAUGCUAAAAUGAGUAACAAGAAGGCCUGCCCUUCUCCAAGCACAAGUGUAAGCCAAACCGGACUCACCACUGGCAACUAACGAACUCAACCCAAGAGAGUAAUGUGAAUUGCAAAAAAACCAAGAAAACCCCACAACUAGACUAUCGUUACCCCCACACUGGAGUGCCAUUAAAGGAAAGACUGAAAGAAAAGGAAGGAACUCGGCAAACACAAGCCUCGCCUGUUUACCAAAAACAUCGCCUCCUGCAACACAACCAAGUAUAGGAGGUCCAGCCUGCCCAGUGACCACAAGUUCAACGGCCGCGGUAUUUUGACCGUGCAAAGGUAGCGCAAUCACUUGUCUUUUAAAUAGAGACCUGUAUGAAUGGCUAAACGAGGGCUUAACUGUCUCCCCUUUCAAGUCAGUGAAAUGAUCUACCCGUGCAGAAGCG
rnacentral:rRNA from 1 species